CUUAGUUACCUUCAGGGUCGACUGGCACAGGAGUAGUGAAGCACAACUGGCUCCUUGCCCUUCUGCAAGGUGAAGAUGAGGUCUCUUAGCAAUAAAUUCUCCUUUAGAUGCUUGCAGCAUCAUAAGAUGCUCAGAGGGAAGAAGGCUUUUCUCAUAAAUGAAGACUGUAAUGGAUUUGUAUGAAGAAAAUGGUGCAAUUUAGUCUGCAAGAAUUCAGUGCACUGUUCAGUGUUCCUGUUCCUGCACUGGUUCCGAAUUCCAAGUUCAGUUUUAUCAGUAAGAGUUACAUGCUUAACUCGAAUGAGAUCCAAAGGUCUAGAAAAGCACAGAAUAAUUUUCAGUGAAGCCUGGAAGUAUCAUUUUACUUAUCAGUGCUUCUAUCUACAGGUUUUUCACUGAUCUACAAGAUCCUAAUGUUAUUUAAUGCUCUACCUUUACAGCUUGCAAAAUUUACUUUUACUUCUUAAUUUUUUUUCAGAUCAAAAAUCCCCUUACAUUCAUUGAUGUUGCUUCAUUCCUUAGAAUUAUUUAAUGCUUCCUUCAUGCAUAUGGAUUACACCUCACCAACAAAACCCUGCAGACUUAGAACAUGACAAAUGAGCAGUACAGAACGUGGAAAAGUUAGCAGCUGCUGCUGAGGGGAAAGUACCAGCUUUGUAUCAAGGACGAAAGCUGUUCCUCCCUCCAGAAGCCACAAGUACCAUGAAUCUGCUGAGAGUGCUUUGCAAUUUACAGAUAACUUCCUGGCAACGAGAUUUCUCUUCCUCAGAGCUAAAAGAGAAGCAAAGUCUGGCUGCAGCUGAAGAACUGAACAACUCUGGAACCAGAGAACAAAAUACAGAGAC